rnacentral:lncRNA from 1 species
GUUCCUUUUCAUUUCUGAAGACAAUGGAAUUGUCCGGUUGGAAUAUUAUCGAAGAGUUAUGAUAAAAACAUCAUAAAGAUUGAUGCUAUACAUCGUUUGACAUGUUUCUACGAACUGUAAUAUAACUUUUUUGACUUUUUGUCUGAACAUAUUGCGCGAGCACAGUAAAUUUGGAAUGCUGGACUGAACGCGCGAACAAAAAGGAGGUAUUUCGACAUAAAUAUGGACUUUAUCGAAACAAAACAAACAUUUAUUGUGGAACUGGGAUUCCUGGGAGUGCAUUCCGAUGAAGAUCAUCAAAGGGGGAAGAUGGAGUGCAGUUCAGGUGAAGCUCGGGCAGGUUGCAGGAAACCAGGUGCGGAGGCUGAGGCUGGACCGAGAGGGGUUGGGACGAGACCUGAUCAUUUGUUGAAGAUAUUGACCAACAUUUUGGCGAGCUUGCAAGGAUUAAGUGACCACUUCGCUGGACUGACCAUUGAUCCACGUGCAAGCGCUACAAAAUUAUAAGGGCCCUUUGCUGUCCAGGAUCUCCUCCCAUGUCCAACUAUCCUGGCCACGCUGCUUGGUGCAUUUUAGGUGGGAG